rnacentral:misc_RNA from 1 species
GAUGAAGAACGCAGCGAAAUGCGAUAAGUAGUGUGAAUUGCAGAAUUCAGUGAAUCAUCGAAUCUUUGAACGCACAUUGCGCCCCAUGGUAUUCCGUGGGGCAUGCCUGUUCGAGCGUCAUUUACCCCCGCAAGCUCCGCUUGGUGUUGGGCGUCUGUCCCGCUUCGCGCGCGGACUCGCCCCAAAGGUAUUGGCAGCGGUCGUGCCAGCUUCUCGCGCAGCACAUUGCGCUUCUCGAGGCACCGGUGGGCCCGCGUCCAUCAAGCUCACCCCCCCAGUUUGACCUCGGAUCAGGUAGGGAUACCCGCUGAACUUAAGCAUAUCAAUAAGCGGAGGA